UAUAGGAUGCCUGAAAAAAAGGGUAAUUUUGAUAGAAUUAAUAAUGUGUUCAUCGCACUCCUAUAA
rnacentral:tRNA from 1 species